CUGGAAAUUAGAGUUUGCAGCAGGGGCUGUGCGGAGUGGCGUGGUACAGUUUCAUCAACAUUUACUUACCUUGGAUGGAUAGAAGGGAGAGGACCCUUGGAACUGAGUGAUGGAUCUAAUUCCGAUGGCCCGUGUAGAAAAACUUUUCCAGACAAGUAGCGAGUGGCGACGAGUGUUUUACCGGCCAUAACUUAGCCAGCCGAGCAUCAAUAAACACGCGUGACGGUUUAUUAUAGGGGAGUGCGUGCUUAGUGGGGAUACUUUAAAUUACUGAGAAUUCAAGAGGAUCCGUAAGGAUCAGUGAAGGGACAUUCGACACCUGGGACCUGCCAAACGUACCGAAAUUACAGCCGACAUCAAAAGUUAAAUUACCACUUUCGAUUGCCUCUACGUGAACGAAGGCAAGGACCGUCAAAGUUUUAAAGGAUUGAAAUCUUCGUGGCUUCCAGUUUACGUUCGUGCCCCUGGCGGCGGCUCAAAGCAAGCUCAGCUGUUUAGCUAACAACUCUAAAACAAAGUGUAAACUAACUAGCUGUCCACUCGGUGUUUAUUUAACGCAGAGAACCGGAGGAGAUAAGGUUGGCGGAGUGUACAGUCGACAAGAAACGUGUGCAGCUUCGACAAGCUUCCUAUGAGCCAUCUCCGCCAAUAAGAAUUGAGUCUCCAACUGCAGCAACCAAUAGAAUCGCGUCGAUAGAUGGCAGAGAGUGAUGCAAAGCGAAGACGGCCGACGAAACCCGAAGAAUGUCGAACCUGACCGAGCUAAGCAAGCAGGGCUGCAGCGCAUCAGUUGAUAGGCUGAUUAGGCCGCAAGGAGAUUCCAGGAAGCACCGCUAAGCGGCGCUGGUGGCCUGGUAACAACAGGCCAGGGUCUCGCCGACGAUAAACAAACUUCAGCAGCGUUUCGGGUCUUUGAUGCCCAGGCGUUGAUUAAUUAAAGCGCGAGAGACGAUCCACUGAAGUAGCUCUAUGGAGCCGACGCAAAAUGCCGACGAUUCCGUCGACCGGCUUCCAAAUACAAACGGCCCCAUUGGAUUCCCCGAACGACUUGGAAUCCAUAGGACUGCGCCGGACGUACCGCGCCUUCCUUCGGACACGCGUCUAUUACCAGUCAAACUCAUAGUUCAAGCAUUAUUGUCUAGGACCCGCGUACGCCAACCCCUGGGAUACUCAGCAGGCGUUCUGGUAACUGGAGUGCGAAGGACCUCUUCCCGUGGAGACGUUCAUGUACCCCGAAAUUACGCAUUUACCCGUUGCCAAGCGUGACCGCUCUCUUGAUGUCUUUACGACCUGGCCCAAAAUGGCUUCCUAGUUUAAACCCAGCAGGACUCAAACUCAGGCCUACCUUCACUGAAGGAUCACCCAGCGAUCCAUCACUCCUCUUCACGUGCGAAGAUCCUAGACGACUAUACGACAUUUGAUACGACAAAACGUUCCCCAUUGACUUCGUCGUUGACUAUUACCACAAUUCCACUAAUUCACAAACGAGCAGGGCGGAGCGACGGGAGCGUAAAGAAAGCUGGUACGACGUAUCUCACAUGGAAACUGUAGGUCGUACGUCAUCAUUUUUUUCGGUAUCCUAGUCGUUUUUGGAAUUACUGCGAUUCGAAGAACUCUCGCCGGAACUAAUACGUAAUUUUAUGAAAUGGACGUGUGUGAAGUAUGUUACACGUGUUUAACAUAUCACACUGAGCUGACGGCAAAUCCGGAAAAUCCCUGAAAUCCUCUAGCGACAGAAGCCACCUGCGAGGACGUGGCGUUGUAUUUACAAAUAGGCCCUAAGGCCCCGACCAUGCAUCAAGGAGGAUCACCAAUGGACCACAGAGCCUGCACACUGUCUGCACACAUGCCGGACUCGCUCUCUUCGUACCUACUUUAUCACGGCGGCGACGGCGGGCGUCGUUUGGUGGAUGAGCGAGAAGGCGUCGGCAAGCGUCGUUGAAUUACAUUUUUUUUAUCGUAUAUGGAAGUGAUGAAUUAAUCUUUGUAUACGUAUAUAUAUAUAUAUAUAUAUGUAUUUUUCAUGUAAAUAUGUAUGUAUGUACAUUUACAUGAAAAAUACAUUUUUGGUUUUUAACCUUUUUUUUUUUAACUGAGGAAUACUCAAGGAGUCUCCAUUAUAAAUCGUGUUUACGCAGCUAAUUCCGUGGGCGGACGGUUAUUAAUUUAUGUAUUUUUAAACUGAGAAAACGGCGAGACAAGCAGAGCGUCGGGACGCCCGUUCACCGAAUAAACACGCUAUUUUUAUGAAACCUAGUAAAAACUUUGGUCGCCACUGAUAAUUAGUUUGUACAAGGUGUUUCGCCACACGUAGACGUCUCUUUACUUACUUCGUGGCGUCCCGACGUCGAACUCACACGUCGCUUUCUCUUUGAUAAUAACUAAUUGACGUAUCCUUGCCAUGCCGGCGUCUCUGCCACGCGUCAAAUUAGCCGGCUGAUGUGCGUCUGGACUUAAAACGCACCAUCGGAAAUUACUCCUUAGACAUGCGCUUCCCCUUGUUGCGGUGACAACAAGGAGAAAAAACUGUUGAAAUAUCCAGGCCCUCACUUGUUAACUAAUUACAACACUGUACGACCGGUGACACUUUGUUCCAACCACGGCGCCUAGAAUCUACAGGGUUGUCUGGUCUGUGAAAAAUUCGUCGCUAUAAAAUGGAUUUCCAAGAAAUUGGCGCUGUCGCUUAGGUGUUUAUGUCUGAACACAAAAGUGUCACCUCGUUAAGGGGAUCAGCUGCGCCACGCUGUCGUGCCUAACAGGCGCUAAAUGGAGUAUGGAGUAAGGAGAGUGUGCGAGAAGGAUAAAACCAGGGAGAAGAGAAUAUGAAAGCUUGUGUAAGAGUGCGUGAAGAGAGAAAGAGUGAUAAUUGUAUUGCGAGGGGGUGGAGGGGUUGUAGGUGAGACCAAGGUAUCCAUGGGGUGUCUCAGGGAUGGUUCGCUCUAUGUAUAGUACAGGGUGUUACAUUAUUCUGCGGAACUCACCCCAUGUCGUCGGGGGUUGUUAAGCUAUCCGACACUGUCUGCACUGCGCUAUGGGGUUGGUGGAUAUGUACACAGACCAUAGGAGUAGGCUACGGCUAUGUGUUUCAUAGGGAUGAGGGUGUAUUCAGAAAGGUUGAGUUCAGUAAGGGAUGCCAUAGGGAGUUCAAGGGUUGGGGCUUGUUAAGUUGUCCAACAGAUGUCUCACCGCGUGAACCCUCGUCUAAAUAGCUAACUCCCGCAGACUUGUAUUUUCACAUCUAAAAAUCCAAUUUCUAUUGGGGAAAGGAAAAAAAAAUCAAUCCAAUUCGCGAUACUUUGGAAAAUCAUUAUAAUUGCCAAGUAACCCCAAUUGUCAUCGAGGGGAUGAUUUUUUUACUCUUACACUUCUAUUGAACAUGGGACUUAUACCAAAUUUCCAUAACUACCCCGCUGUACCUAAUUCAAAAUGAUUUUCGUUUUAAUUUUUUUUUUUGCAGGCUAGUCUCUUCUAUGGUGAAAAAUCGUUCACCUGGCAUCCCUUAACCGGAUCCACGAGCUCUCUGCGUGGGGGGAGCGUUAACGACUUCCUGGCGAGUUUCUUCUUCUUGUUCACCUUUUUUUUUGUCGCACCGCACUGUGAGCUACAGCUUCUUUCAAAGGCUAUGGGAAUGCGAGGAUUUAAGAAUGGCUGCGUGGAAGUGCUGCGCGCGCGUUAUUCUCAUGUGAAUGGCGAAAAUGGCACCGCGCGCACGCCCCAUUAUGGCGCAACGUGCCCUUUUCUCAAUGCGCAACAAUCGACUCCAACGCCGACCUACGGUCACCUGCCAAGUCCUGCUAAGGUCGGCUCUUCCCUGCCACUAACGAGCCCUUGAUGCGUUUUCUUCGAAAUGUCACGUGCGUAACGACGCCUACUAUACGUAUAUACUAAAGCGGUAACGAAUACAAGACCCCCCCGUUUGUUUGCACGUGCAACUGCAACUGCAACAUCAUCUUCAAGUACUCCACUUCCAAGUGCCCUGCUAAGAGGAAGAAAAUCUAAAUAAAUGGAAAAUAGGUCAAACAACGAUUGCAAGUGAAAAGGGGUUCAACUGAGACUAUCCAAGAAGGGGAUGGACACAAAGCAUCAAAACAAAGUUUUCCCCUGGAUAGGUCCACGUGUCCAGCGUCGGCGUCGACGCUGUCAUUAAACUCCUCGUUAUCGAAGCCGACCAACCCCGUGCAACCCCCAGCGAACUCUGUCGGUGCCUUGUAGCUCGUGAUUGGUUACAUUACCGUUACGCGCGUCCUGUGUCACAGAACUAUGCUGUUACUGCAAUCGCGGUGCACGUCCUGGUUUCCUCGUCUGCAGGAAAACAACACGUAUUCGAUACCAAAUCCUCAUCGAGGUUACAAAAUCGAUCUGAUGAUGUAACCUGUACCGAUAUAUCAAAAUUUUAGUUUCCUCAAAAAAAAAAGGAACCGCAUGACCCAUAUCAGGUGUCAGACUGUCUCCAGCUCGAAAAUUCAUCCUCGGAUAUCAUUGGAGGGUUCCAACCCCCUAGGGUCCAUGAGGGUUACACGUCACCAAGUGGGAGCCUUGGGAAACUGACCAGUCCGGAUGUUACGCGUUUUGUCUACCGCAUACAAUUCUCACCCUGUUACCCUUACGAGGGGGUAGCAAAGGGGUGCUUUUGAGAGCGCGUGUUGUAGGACACGAGUAAAUAGAGUCACCAUCAUAGGCCCCCAGGGUGAUUUGUCUCUUUGCGGCUUCCGAAAGGAGAGCGAUUGUUUCAUCCGAUUGAACUACUUUGCACCCUCAUUAUUAUUACUAUUAUUGCGAGCCUUGGUAUAUAUAUAUAUAUAUAUAUUGUAGGGUCGAUAAAAUUGCCAAUCGGGAAAGACGAAUCAUUGGUAAUUUUUUUAUUGAAUUUACUAUGAUCUUUUUACAUGCGUAACGUUGUACAGGGUGGUAUUUUAUAAAAAUGUUUAUAUUAAGGUUCGGUCCAAGCGGAUUUGUUCACGAGGGUACGUUUUCUUGCGAUUUCCACGAAAGCCCAAGAAAACAGCUGGUUUCAAGACUCGGUCCUUCUUCUGGUCGUUACUUGGCUUUUCUCGGACAUGAAACAAGAAACUGGCAUCAGGACGUCGUUAUACGCGGUCUACCUUCGCCACCCUAUACAGUAUAAACCACCCUCUAUCGCACUCCUUACGUAGACAAAUACACAGAGAAUCUCCCGGCGAAAGGAGAAACUCCUUGUGUUCUGCAAAUAAUGUUCUCCUGUCAAACAAACAGGACCUGCCGGACCUUCGACUGUGAAGAUUGGCGUCGGGAAAAAGGCACACCUUUACACUUUAUUCUCUGAAUACGGUCGUCAAGUAAAUUGGGCAUAAAGUUUCCACCCUAAUGAUCUUCUUAUAUAGUACAAGAAAUAUAGAUAUACAUUAACACAUAAACAGACACCCACAAAUAGUGAUUUUCGAAACAUCAUUCAACCAGAAAUUUUUAAGAUUUCUUCGAUUUCCUAUACUCGUUGCGAGUGCGAGAGAGACGGAAGUAUCGGCGUUUAAGUGCGUAAGAGAAAGACAGGCAUACUAAUAUUUAAAAAAGCACCCGAUUGAUUCCCUUACCGUUUUAACCGGCUUCCAAAAAGAAGGAGGUUAGCAAUUCGUCGUGUUUAUUUUUUUGGAAUUUCCUGUCUUAUGCCUACAUGUUUAAUUUUUUUUCGAAUUUUCACAUGAUUUGAAAUAUCAGAUUUAUCCGUUUUAUUAAUUCUUAUUUAUCGUACACUAAUUUUCUCUAUAUCUUUCCCUAUGGACCAUACUGUUCCCAGUAUGGACCAAAAUUUUAAUAAGGAUAAUCAAAUUGGUACGGAUUUAACACGGAUCGGUGAUCUGCUAGCAGUUAUCUAACAAAUGGAUAAUAUACGUUUAUGAAGUGGUAGUCGCGUGGCUCCUUGUGAUACUAUGUAUUUAUAGUUUCAUAUAUAUAUUCUAUAUAGGUAUACAUGAUACUCUGGCACAUCAAUACAGCAAGAUACAUUGAUAGCGGUCACACGACUAGCACGUGGCUCUCGACGUGACUCCCUCUGCUCUCUUUCGUUUAUUACACCCCGUAUACACCCUGUACAAUCGAUCGUAAUCGCUUUUGGCUUUUGCCAUUCAUACAGAAAUCACGUACGAUUUGUAUUCGCUAUUCACACGCUCUCGUGAAUCGAUCUCUGAAAUCUAAAUUAAAUUUUGAAGAUACGACGUAGGUAGUGAUAUAGGUAUUUUUUCUAAUUUCAGACCUUCAAAGGGUUUCGGUGAAUAAGAAUUGGAUUUUUGAGAAAGAGGAAGAAUAUUUUAAUUAUUUUUUUUUGUUUUUUUUUUGUUUUUGACAAUUUCGCGUGGUUGGUUCUUGAUUGGUUUUACUCCAGUUUUAUGUUAAAUAUCUGCUGCAGCAGUGGUUGAUGUCUUUUUGACAGCUGUAAAUUUGAAAAUUUUGAAAUAUUUAUGACUUCGCAAAUGUUUUGCACUCUCGUGGCUUUAUACGUGUCUAUGGUUUAUAUGGUUGGGUUAAGGUUGGACCUGACCACUCACUGCUUUAAGGUAUGGCCACAAAAUGGCGUAAACACGUUGUGCAAUUUUAUUACGGGGUUCAAUACCGAAAUACUAUUCUGCUAGAGUUUUAGAAGUUGAGGUUAUGACUGUUCUAGGGGAAUUGAGGUCCGGUGUACCUACUUCUGAGAUUUUAUUUGGGUGCCGAAUGAAGAUGGCUCUUGGGUGAGCCGCUGCUUGAGAAUCAAAGGAUACUGUGGAAAUACUGUGGUGCUUUAAACCGCAAGUAUUUGGGAAACUAUUUUAUUUUCGGUAAAAGGCUUAGUCUGAUAAUUUUUUUUUUCAUUAACUUAUUUACACGCAUAAGGAUUCUCCGUAUCAGGUUAAAAUUUUUCUUAUCUUUUUUUUUUCGAAACUUAUUUUUACCGUAUAUCCGCUAUGUCUUAUGGCUGUACUCCAAGGAUCUUACACACCUCGUAGAAAGUCACUGGGAUGCACUUUUACUGUGCUUACACCGACUUCGUGAAAGGAAGAAAAGUGACUAGAGGUGAAAGCGCGGUUUUCACCGGGACCUGACCUACGAAAAUUGACCCAUAAAUCCGCAUUUAUGAUUUACUGUUGGUCAAGAAAGAAUUUUGUUGGCUUGGCGAAAACUGAAUGCAAGAGCAGCCACAGAUUCUCAAAACAUCGUAGGACGUUAAAGUCAGUACACACCCUCUUGUCGUUACGCGCAAGAAAUUUAACCAUUUUGGAAAAUAUAGGGAAAGGUCGUAAAGAUACUCAUAAAUUUUCAAAAAUAUUAAAUUUCUGGGUUCGACAUGACUUUUCCAUGAUACAACAAAUAAUUCGAUAAAGUCUUAAGAAUAUGAGAAAAAGAUUUUUUUCUAAACGAUAUUCAAAAUUUUGGAAAAAAUCAAAAAUUUUUUUUUACCAAUGAGAACGAUGAAGUAUCGACUGAACCUUUGGAAAUUUUACUUUUUUUUUUUUCUUCUUUUUCGACCAACGAUGCCACAGAAUCCCACGAAUCCUGAUCCCCAGCCCGCAUCUUGACAUCCGCUUCGCUUCUAGCUGGGUCUCUCGAUAUUUAGCAAUAAUUUACUUCGCCGUGUUGGAAUAAUGUCAGGGACAAUGCCAGUGUCGCAGCCAUUGACGCCGAUAAUUUUGUCCCACGGGUAUAUUGUUGCCCAAUGAUACGUUUACGGUUGUAGCGCCGAAAUUGCGGGACGUCUCAUGUAAAUACGCCCGUAUCUAUGCUAUAGUAUAUAAAUAUAGCCCAUGCAACGUUCUUUCAAUUAUCAAAGACUUCGGCAUUAUAUACCCCUUAAUAAGAAUAAGCAUCCAUUUUGAAUGUGGCACUUGCCGCAAUACGAGACCGCAAACACUAAACAGGCGUACAGUAAAGCAUUAAAAAAACUUUUUUUAUUCUGUACACCCCCAUAAUAGCUUUCGGUAUACUUUUGAAUCAAAAGAAGUAGAAUCUUUUGACAUGAUUAAUUUCAUGUUGUAUAUCCCUAUGGAUACAACAAUGACGCUCGUUGACCAUGGACUUCCUUUUUUCUCUACAGAAGCAAAAUCCUUCUUAAGGGAAUAGGGGGAGGAAGGGGGUGACAGAAAAAAAUACUAGUAUUUAUUUUUGACACCCCCUUUAAAAAAAAAUUCCCCUGUUGAGAAUUCCACUGACAUUCCGAAUUUAUCAAUCGACCGCGUCGGGACGCUUCGAGAUGCCGACGUCUUAAGGGGGAAAAAAAAGUGUCAUUCAUACGUGAGACGUUGACGAAUUUCCCAAGUAAAUUGUAUUAAACCGACGAAACUGACAAAUCGAGGAUUAGUCUUGUAUUCACAUGAGAUUCGACACAGUCUCUCCCGAAAGCAUCUCCAGAAUUUUGCUUCAGUCCCAAAAUCUGUUAUACUAUAACUCCUGAAAAUUGUAUCCCCUAAAAAUUAUGUUUAUUAAUAAAAAAUAUUUUUCUGAUAAAAAAAUGCAAACACGUGUCUUAAGACAGUCACGGGAUUUUUCGACUCACGGUCGCAAGGCAACUCCUGCUAUCGAUUCAGACAACGUUCUCGCUUUUUGGUUUCCUUAGAGUUGCCACCCUCAUCAGAAGCCACGUUCUCGGGUUGAUUCGUACAGUUACGCAAAUGAUUUUGAAAGAUUUUUUAUUAUUUAGUUGAGGUCGAGGUGCUCGAAUCUGUCAUGGAGAGAUAGUCUCGACGUACCGAGUUGCCCGGCAGAGAAGGGUACCCGACGGAGACGUCUUCGCGGAUCGGCAGAAGUCCGGGUGAGAUACCAGCAUCCCGCUGGAGGGUGGCAAAGGGCUGUAGAGCAGGCCUAGAUAAGGUUUUGAUACGUUCAAGGGCAGGUGAGGAACCCCCUGACCCGAGUUGAGGAUGCGGUGUCCAGCUGUAGCCCUAUGCCCUGGGAAAGCGGCCGUGGAGGAUUUUCGAUUUGUUACGUAUCGAUUCGCUAAUGAACGCUCUCGAGUUAGUUUACAGGGACGACUCGAGGAAAAGGAUAGGAGUUAUUGGCUAUAAGGAUCUCGAUCAAUCAGAACGAUUAGUUCCCGAAUUUGACUAUUGUCAAAGCAGUCUGUCUUGGGACACCGGUCGACGUGCCUCGAGCUGCCUCGCGCUCCCGUGCUGUCUGUUGAUAGUUUUUCUAGCUGUGUUUCCUAUACGGUAUAGGAAGUUCUCGCUUGUGUGGUUCUCGCGUUACUCUCGUAACAUCCAGAAAAUCCUAUAGAUUUUUUGCGUGCGUUUCGGAGGUGCAGUGCUGUGCUAUGGAGCAGUGCCCACCUGAGUCUACCCUGGAUGCAGUUCUCGGCCUUCAGGGAUCAGCUGAACCAACUCCGGUGAGUACUCCCAAUUAAUUGGUGGAGGGUUUUCGAUUUUAUAGCGAUUUUUACCUGACGCUUAGUCCGACCCUCUCUACCUCAACCUAGCAGCCUGAGCGGCCAUGCAUUUCCUUAGCCAUUCGCUCCCAAAGAUCAGCACCUACGGUUACGUUUCUCGAUUUGACACGUCCCCAAAGAUCAUAGGUCAUACUGGUUGGUCAAUUCCCGGUGAAAAAAUAAUCAGCUGUCGCCCGUUUGUCAUGCGGACGCAUGGACGAAGGGUGGACGGCCGAAGGUGACGUAGGUUAAUUCUCGAAUUUUUGUUAUCACUUUUCUCAACUCACUGAGUUGAGAAAAUACGUUACAAGAAUUACUUGGUCAUAUUCAUGAAACGUGAAAUGAACGAAAAUGCCGCUUUUCUCAUAAUGGACCUUUUUCAACUAAAAGGGCAAAAUGAACCUCUGGCCACCUCGUGACUAAUUGGCGUAGCUACUGGAAUUCUACUGUCUGCCAUAACCUAUAUAACCGAGUAAACCGGAUACUCGUACCCCACUUUCCACAGGCAUUAUAGUCCUGCGUCAAACCUCCAGACCGAGUAUGAAGCUACCGAUUUUGAUUUCGAUCGUCCCCGUAGGAGGUCCUCGACGACCCGGUCACGGGAAUGAUUUACGACAGUCGCGUACAUAAAUAUCUCAGUCAGGGAAAACUGUGAUGGUUGACUAAGAGGAGACGAAGAUUUGGAGAAAUUCGCAGCGGUGGGGAACCGAUCACCUUUCUCUUGCGUUUCUUCCUGUGGGCACAGAAUGCUACUGCUUCUUCUUUCACUUCCUCCAUCUCUUGCUAGUUCCUUUCAUCUUCUUUGACUACUCCAUGGCGAAGUGUCUCGUGCGCAGGGCUGCCACCCACCGAGGCUUGCCACAACAAUUUCUAUGUUCACGAUGUAGGUUAG